UUUUGGGCCGAGAUACAUAUUCCGUUUGGGCCGAUAUACAUGUAGUAUAUGUUUGUUUAUAUUUUGAUUUUUUUGGACAGAUUUUUAAGUCCAACUUUGGUCUUAUCGUCUUUAUACUGCCCUGGAGAACAAAAAAAAAAAAAAAAAAAACUAUGCCCUAAAGUUCUCAGCCGAUUGUUUGUAAAAGGAAUCGAUUUGCAAAAUUGUUAGAUAACCAAGAUACUACGUCUCUGUUUAUCAUUUGUUAAUCUGAAUCUAUAAAGAGAAUUUUAUGUUUGUACAGAGAUCUUGAAAAAUGAUUGUGAAGAAAACGUUCUUAUAUGGAUAAUUACAAAAAUGAUGAUGUUGCCAAAAGAAGAAAGACAAAGAUAAGUUUUCUGAAAUGAUUAUGA